UGGCUCUCGCAUCGAUGAAGAACGCAGCGAAUUGCGAUAAGUAAUGUGAAUUGCAGAAUUCAGUGAAUCACCGAAUCUUUGAACGCAUCUUGCACUCUCCGGUAUUCCGGAGAGUAUGCCUGUUCGAGUGUCGUGAAGUCCUCAAGACGCAAGUCUUGGAGUUGGAGCCUGUCGGCGCGAGUCGACUGCUCUGAAAUGUAUUAGCCAUGGUGAACACGAUCGGCUUGAGUGUAAUAAAUCUUUUAUAUGCACGACGGUCUGAGAGUACACACCGGGCUCACAAAACCCCUUACUUUUUCACCUUUGACCUCGAAUCAGGUAGGAUUACCCGCUGA
rnacentral:misc_RNA from 1 species